rfam:Candidatus Berkelbacteria bacterium RIFCSPLOWO2_01_FTLL_50_28 rifcsplowo2_01_scaffold_531, whole genome shotgun sequence.
GGCCAGGUGCCCGAGUGGUUAGGGAGCGGUCUGCAAAACCGCGUACAGGGGUUCGAUUCCCCUUCUGGCCU